rnacentral:rRNA from 1 species
UACGUAGGGUGCGAGCGUUUGUCCGGAAUUAUUGGGCGUAAAGGGCUCGUAGGCGGUCUGUCACGUCGAAAGUGAAAACUCAGGGCUUAACCCUGAGCCUGCUUCCGAUACGGGCAGACUAGAGGUAUGCAGGGGAGAAUGGAAUUCCCGGUGUAGCGGUGAAAUGCGUAGAGAUCGGGAGGAACACCAGAGGCGAAGGCGGCGACCUGGACAGUGACUGACACUGAACUACGAAAGCGUGGGGAGCAAACAGG